rnacentral:rRNA from 1 species
AUUGAACGCUGGCGGCAGGCCUAACACAUGCAAGUCGAACGGUAACAGGAAGACGCUUGCUUCUUUGCUGACGAGUGGCGGACGGGUGAGUAAUGUCUUGGAAACUGCCUGAUGGAGGGGGAUAACUACUGGAAACGGUAGCUAAUACCGCAUAACGUCGCAAGACCAAUGAGGGGGACCUUCGGUCCUCUUGCCAUCGGAUGUGCCCAGAUGGGAUUAGCUAGUAGGUGCGGUACCGGCUCACCUAGGCGACGAUCCCUAGCUGGUCUGAGAGGAUGACCAGAUAGACGGGAAGUGAGAAACAGUACAGACACUUGCGCGAGGCAACAGCCGGGAAUAUUGCAGGAUGGGGGAGUGCGGGAUGUAGCCAAGUCGCGUGUAUGAAGAAGGAGUAAUGGUUGUAAAGUACUUUAAGCGGGGAGGUAGGGAGGAACGUUUAUACCGGAGCUUAUUGACGUUACCCGCAGAAUAAGCACCGGCUAACUCCGUG